GAGAAGAUAUUCAGGGAUCAUGUCUAUAGUUCGUCUCUAGAGAAGUUUCUCUGAUCAUGCAGAGCACCUGAAACCAUGAGGAACCAGAGCAUCCUCUCCUGACAUGAGGCUGGUUCUAGAUGUUGCUUUUGCAACUGCCUUUUACCGUUGAGGAUUGCUCUUCUCUUCCUUUGGGAGAGGGCGAGGGAGAGGAUGUGGUCUGAGAGGG